UCUCGUUAGACCACCGAAGUCAAGCAUCAUUGGGCGCGGUCAGUACUUGGGUGGGUGACCACCUGGGAACACCGCGUGCCGUU